rnacentral:rRNA from 1 species
GGACGUCGAUGUCUGCAGGUGUUGGGGGGUUGAGAUUUUAUAUGGCUGCACUUAAGGCAUUAAUUGAUCCCCCGGGGAAUUACGACCCCAGGGUUGAAACUCAAUGGAUUUGAGGGGGACCCGCCCAGCCGGGGAACCAGGGGGUUUAUUUCAAACCACCCCGAAAAACCUUACCAAAUCUUGACUGCCUUUGACUUUUCUAAAAAGGAAUGUUUCCCCUUCGAACUAUGACACGAGUGGUGGUGGGCUGUUGUCAUCUCCUCGCGUGAGAAGAUGUUGGGUUUCCUCCCGCAACCAGCGCCCUUGUUCUUAUUUACUGCCAUCAUUUGGUUGGGCCCUCUAAGUUGACUGCCGGUGACAAACCGGAGGAAGGUGGGGAUGACGUCAAAUCAUCAUGCCCCUUAUGAUUUGGGCUACACACGUGCUACAUGGGACAAUACAAAGGGUGCCUAACCCGCGAGGUCAAGCAAAUCUCAUAAACUUGUUCUCAGUUCGGAUUGUAGUCUGCAACUCGACUGCAUGAAGUCUGGAAUCGCUAGUAAUCGUAAAAUCAAAAUGUCUACGGUGAAUACGUUCCCCGGGGUCUUUGUACACACCCGCCCCGUCACACCAUGGAGAGUGUUGUUGCACCCGAAGCCGCUGGUAGUACCCAUUUAUAGGAGCUAGCCCUCGAAGGUGGUUACAAGAUGAGUGGGGAGUCUGAAAAAAGGGAAAACAAAAAA